rnacentral:sRNA from 1 species
UAUGUAGUCUCUGAAAAUGGAAGAAAAUAUAGCAGAUAUGGAAGGUGCACUCUGUCAGUUCUUGCUGCCUGUUUCCACCAGCUGGUCUUAUAGUCAGUCCCCUGCUUUUAUCUAUUGUCUGCUGUUAUAUAGGACAGGCAAAACUGGGUCAACACUGUCUCUGCUGCUUACUAGUUUGUGACGUUAGGCAAGUUAACUUCUCAGAGUUUUAAUUUUAUUAUCUUAAAAUUGGAGUUUAUAAUAGUUCCUACUUUAUAGCAUUGUUGUAAAGAUGAGGUCUUUUUAAAAUAUAACUACUAGAACUACUCUCAAAGUUCCAAAUACAAAUGCUAUUUUCUAUUUCUAGUAAUUUUCCUGUUAACUACUCAACAUUUAGGUGACUGUUACAGCUGCAGAAACACAGUAGGCUUAGAGCUUUAGGAAGUGUCACUAAUAAACUAUGAUAUCUCUAAUUAAAUGUCUAUAAAUUAUAAAUGUCUCUAAUAAAAAUAAUAAAGUAAAUCUUAUAACUUACA